CGAGUCCUUGCUAAGCCAUCCCUUGACAGAAAGCGCUGAGAAGAGAAUAGGCCAGUAAAAAAGAGGAGGCUUCCCACCUCAUCGUAGACCUAUUGGUGCAAGAGAGGGUUUUUUGCGGGGUGGGAUGGGGGGUGCUUUUUAAAAGGCUCUCGAGGAUCCCUUGAAUAACUGAGAGGUGACAGGAACGCCAGGUCUCGCAAUGAAAGCAUGGGGAAUAAUUCUAAGUUGAAUCUGACGUUAACAGCACACAGAUAACACCCACUGGGCACUGCUUGGCUGAAGCUUGCGGUGGGCUAGGAUCCGAGGGAACCCGGCUGAGGCCAGCGGCUGCAGCAGCGCAAGGCGGGGCUGCCCCUGCACCUGUGCAUCCCAGCUUCGGCUGGUCCCCUCACCCCGACAGAAGCAGCCGAGCCACAUCCCACGGAGAGGCCACGUCCACGGUGGAGUGGCCCAUGAGAGCCUGAGCCAGCAUAAAGCCACCUUGGAUCAACCUUAGUCACUUCAAAUCUGGUCUCGUGGAGCCACCUGAAAGUGACAGCCAUAAAGAACAACGGGAAAAUCUGAAAAGGGAAAAAGAUGUGAUCAAGCCUGCAACUUCCCAGGCACUUUACCUGUCUCCUUGCAGGAGUCCGGGGUGCCUUGUACAGCCCUGGGAGGGAGCCAUUACAGAACUGCAGAAAAGAGAGAGUCAGCAAGGGAGUUGUUGGGUGGGUGCGACUCUGCCUGCAGGGGAGCUCUUCUGCCUCCAGAGCCCCAGCCCGCUGCUGAGAGGAGCUGCCUGGACAGAGCAUCUCUGAGGCCCGAGGUGCUGGGACUGCACACAGUGAGUUCUUUCCUAAGCUCUCGAGAGGACCAGAUUUUAGACUGUAACCUCUGAUUUAAAGCACGAAGGUGUUCCUGCUGCUUAGGUUGCUGGGUCUUGAUUUGUUUUUGGUAAACAGAGGGCACUGGCUUAUGUCCAUCCUCAAAGCUGCUUUGUCCUAGGGUGCCCGUUGCCAUAGUUAACGUGAG
rnacentral:lncRNA from 1 species